CCUACGGGAGGCAGCAGUGAGGAAUAUUGGUCAAUGGUCGGGAGACUGAACCAGCCAAGCCGCGUGAGGGAUGAAGGUACAGAGUAUCGUAAACCUCUUUUGUCAGGGAACAAAGGCGGGGACGUGUCCCCGGAUGAGUGUACCUGAAGAAAAAGCAUCGGCUAACUCCGUGCCAGCAGCCGCGGUAAUACGGAGGAUGCGAGCGUUAUCCGGAUUUAUUGGGUUUAACGGGUGCGCAGGCGGUCUGUUAAGUCAGCGGUCAAAGCCCGGGGCUCAACCCCGGCCCGCCGUUGAAACUGGCAGUCGCGAGUUGGAGAGAGGUAUGCGGAAUGCGCGGUGUAGCGGUGAAAUGCAUAGAUAUCGCGCAGAACUCCGAUUGCGAAGGCAGCAUGCCGGCUCCACACUGACGCUGAGGCACGAAAGCGUGGGUAUCGAACAGGAUUAGAUACCCUGGUAGUC
rnacentral:rRNA from 1 species